UUUUUCCUACGGGACGCAGCAGUGGGGAAUAUUGCACAAUGGGCGCAAGCCUGAUGCAGCCAUGCCGCGUGUUGAAGAAGGCCUUCGGGUUGUAAAGUACUUUCAGCGGGGAGGAAGGGAGUAAAGUUAAUACCUUUACUCAUUGACGUUACCCGCAGAAGAAGCACCGGCUAACUCCGUGCCAGCAGCCGCGGUAAUACGGAGGGUGCAAGCGUUAAUCGGAAUUACUGGGCGUAAAGCGCACGCAGGCGGUUUGUUAAAGCAGAUGUGAAAUCCCCGGGCUCAACCUGGGGACUGCAUCUGAU
rnacentral:rRNA from 1 species